AGCAGCCGCGGUAAUUCCAGCUCCAAUAGCGUAUAUUAAAGUUGUUGCAGUUAAAAAGCUCGUAGUUGAAUUUCGGGGUCAGUAGAUUGGUCAUGCCACUGGUAUGUACUGGUCUCACUGAUUCCUCCUUCCUGAUGAGCCGUAAUGCCAUUAAUUUGGUGUUGCGAGGAAUCUGGACUGUUACUUUGAAAAAUUAGAGUGUUUAAAGCAGGCUAACGCUUGAAUACAUUAGCAUGGAAUAAUGAAAUAGGACGUUCGAUCUUAUUUUGUUGGUUUCUAAGAUUGACGUAAUGAUUAAUAGGGAUAGUUGGGGCAUUAGUAUUCAAUUGUCAGAGGUGAAAUUCUUGGGUUUAUUGAAGACUAACUACUGCGAAAGCAUUUGCCAAGGAUGUUUUCAUUAAUCAAGAACGAAAGUUAGGGGAUCGAAGACGAUCAGAUACCGUCGUAGU
rnacentral:rRNA from 1 species